AUUGAACGCUGGCGGCAGGCCUAACACAUGCAAGUCGAGCGGAUGAAGGGAGCUUGCUCCUGGAUUCAGCGGCGGACGGGUGAGUAAUGCCUAGGAAUCUGCCUGGCAGUGGGGGAUAACGUCCGGAAACGGGCGCUAAUACCGCAUACGUCCUGAGGGAGAAAGUGGGGGAUCUUCGGACCUCACGCUAUCAGAUGGGCCUAGGUCGGAUUAGCUAGUUGGUGGGGUAAAGGCCUACCAAGGCGACGAUCCGUAACUGGUCUGAGAGGAUGAUCAGUCACACUGGAACUGAGACACGGUCCAGACUCCUACGGGAGGCAGCAGUGGGGAAUAUUGGACAAUGGGCGAAAGCCUGAUCCAGCCAUGCCGCGUGUGUGAAGAAGGUCUUCGGAUUGUAAAGCACUUUAAGUUGGGAGGAAGGGCAGUAAGUUAAUACCUUGCUGUUUUGACGUUACCAACAGAAUAAGCACCGGCUAACUUCGUG
rnacentral:rRNA from 1 species